rnacentral:misc_RNA from 1 species
GAUGAAGAACGUAGCGAAAUGCGAUAAGUAGUGUGAAUUGCAGAAGUACCGUGAAUCAUCGAAUCUUUGAACGCAAAUUGCACUCUCUGGUAUUCCGGGGAGUAUGCCUGUUUGAGGGUCGCUUAACAAACCAUCGAUUUCGUUGCUUUUUUUUUUUAAAGUGAUGUUUAUCGGAUUUGAGCCGUCUUUUUUUUUAUAUUUAAGUGGCUUAAAAUUGAUUUUUUUGGUACGAUCGAAGCGUAUUUUUAUGAUCAAUUUUUGGUUAAAGAAACGCACACGUACCGUUAUUUAUAUGAUGUAAUACGUUUGACUAUUGGAUUUAGUUCAUUCGUAUACGAUAUCUUUCAAUAUUUGACCUCAAAUCAGGUAAGAACACCCGCUGAACUUAAGCAUAUCAAUAAGCGGAGGA